rnacentral:sRNA from 2 species
AAAAUUAAAUAGCCUAAUUCUUAAAAUCUGAUAUAAGAAGCGGGGGACCUAAUUUUUGGGGUAAAUUACGCAUAGCGUAAGGGGUGUCUCUUCUACCUAACCCGUCAACUAACCUCGUAGGCAGAAAGUUUCCAAAA